rnacentral:misc_RNA from 1 species
UUUGGGUCCGGUAAGGCCUCGAGGGCAGUCGUGUCCAUGGCGAAGAAGAGCGUGGGAGAGCUGACAGCUGCGGAUUUGAAGGGGAAGAAGGUCUUUGUUAGGGCUGAUUUGAAUGUGCCUUUGGAUGACAACCAGAAAAUCACUGAUGACACUAGAGUUAGAGCUGCAGUCCCCACAAUUAAACAUUUAAUUCAAAAUGGAGCUAAAGUCAUUCUUUCUAGUCAUUUGGGACGGCCAAAA